GUUCUAAAUCAUGCAUGACUUCAGAAAUUAAAUAAGGGGCAAAAAAAAAAAAAAACAAACUUUAUUUCCCCCAAUCACUUUGAAAAACACACUGGCCUUCACAUACCCUUUGUCCUAAAAUCAUUAGGUAGCACUGCAUUUCCUCCACAGUUCAUGUAGGCAUCCUCUCAUGCCUUUUAACAAGUGAGAAUCUAGCUGUAUGCUACCUAUAGCUUAGUUUCAGCUGAAGGGAACAUUACUAAUGAAUGUAUUCAAUGAAAACAAUUAGACGACUCCUAACCAUAAGGGACCUUUUGUGGAGUGAGUCGCCAAAGCCUGUGGUCCAAGUAGGCAGGAGGCUGGAAAAUAUUUAUAAUGACUGAUUAUAUAUAUAUAUAUAUACACAUACAUUUAGACAGAAUCUUCUACCCCUGAUAUCUGAUCACCCUAUCUGGUCAAAUUCUUCAUCUUUGCAAUGUUCUUAUUGCAACAGUCCUCAAUAAAGUCAGACUAAUUAGCACUGUCCAAUAGAUAAAAUACAAGUAGGCAACUU
rnacentral:lncRNA from 1 species